GAUGAAGACGCAGCGAAAUGCGAUAAGUAAUGUGAAUUGCAGAAUUCAGUGAAUCAUCGAAUCUUUGAACGCACAUUGCGCCCGCCAGUAUUCUGGCGGGCAUGCCUGUUCGAGCGUCAUUACAACCCUCAGGCCCCCGGGCCUGGCGUUGGGGAUCGGCGGAAGCCCCCUGUGGGCACACGCCGUCCCUCAAAUACAGUGGCGGUCCCGCCGCAGCUUCCAUUGCGUAGUAGCUAACACCUCGCAACUGGAGAGCGGCGCGGCCAUGCCGUAAAACACCCAACUUCUGAAUGUUGACCUCGAAUCAGGUAGGAAUACCCGCUGAACUUAAGCAUAUCAAUAAGCGGAGGA
rnacentral:misc_RNA from 1 species